UAGGGAAUCUUCGGCAAUGGACGAAAGUCUGACCGAGCAACGCCGCGUGAGUGAAGAAGGUUUUCGGAUCGUAAAACUCUGUUGUUAGAGAAGAACAAGGACGUUAGUAACUGAACGUCCCCUGACGGUAUCUAACCAGAAAGCCACGGCUAACUACGUGCCAGCAGCCGCGGUAAUACGUAGGUGGCAAGCGUUGUCCGGAUUUAUUGGGCGUAAAGCGAGCGCAGGCGGUUUCUUAAGUCUGAUGUGAAAGCCCGCGGCUCAACCGGGGAGGGUCAUUGGAAACUGGGAGACUGGAGUGCAGAAGAGGAGAGUGGAAUUCCAUGUGUAGCGGUGAAAUGCGUAGAUAUAUGGAGGAACACCAGUGGCGAAGGCGGCUCUCUGGUCUGUAACUGACGCUGAGGCUCGAAAGCGUGGGGAGAAAACAGG
rnacentral:rRNA from 1 species